rnacentral:tRNA from 1 species
GCGGGUGUAGUUCAAUGGUAGAAUGCAAGCCUUCCAAGCUUGAUACGUGGGUCCGAUUCCCAUCACCCGCU